UCGAAUCGCACGGCCUUGCGCUGGCGAUGCUUCAUUCAAAUUUCUGCCCUAUCAACUGUCGAUGGCAAGGUAGUGGCUUACCAUGGUUGCGACGGGUGACGGAGAAUUAGGGUUCGAUUCCGGAGAGGGAGGCUGAGAAACGGCUACCACAUCUAAGGAAGGCAGCAGGCACGCAAAUUACCCAAUGGUCGAAGACCGAGGUAGUGACGAAAAAUAACGAUACCAGACUCAUCCGAGGCCUGGUAAUCGGAAUGAGUACACUUUAAACCCUUUAACGAGGAACAAUUGGAGGGCAAGUCUGGUGCCAGCAGCCGCGGUA
rnacentral:rRNA from 1 species